rnacentral:rRNA from 1 species
CCUACGGGGAGCAGCAGUGGGGGAUAUUGCACAAUGGGGGGAACCCUGAUGCAGCGACGCCGCGUGGGUGAAGGAGUAUUUCGGUAUGUAAAGCCCUAUCGGCAGGGAAGAAAUUGGACGGUACCUGACUAAGAAGCCCCGGCUAACUACGUGCCAGCAGCCGCGGUAAUACGUAGGGGGCAAGCGUUAUCCGGAUUCACUGGGUGUAAAGGGAGCGUAGACGGCCAUGCAAGCCAGGGGUGAAAGCCCGGGGCCCAACCCCGGGACUGCCCUUGGAACUGCAUGGCUGGAGUGCGGGAGGGGCAGGCGGAAUUCCUGGUGUAGCGGUGAAAUGCGUAGAUAUCAUGAGGAACACCGGCGGCGAAGGCGGCCUGCUGGACCGCGACUGACGUUGAGGCUCGAAAGCGUGGGGAGCGAACAGGAUUAGAUACCCGAGUAGUC